rnacentral:rRNA from 1 species
UACGUAGGUGGCAAGCGUUGUCCGGAUUUACUGGGCGUAAAGAGCGCGCAGGCGGUCGUUCAAGUCGCGUGUGAAAGCCCCCGGCUCAACUGGGGAGGGUCACGCGAUACUGAUCGACUCGAAGGCAGGAGAGGGUAGUGGAAUUCCCGGUGUAGUGGUGAAAUGCGUAGAGAUCGGGAGGAACACCCGUGGCGAAGGCGGCCAGCUGGGAUACACCUGACGCUGAGGCACGAAGGCGUGGGGAGCGAACGGG